AGCCCGGGGCACGGGCGAGGCGAGGCGAGACGAGACGAGACGGCGGGGCCGGGGCGGGUCAGGCCGGCCGUUGCCCGCGGAGCCGGAGCUGCUUCGCGCGGGGUCCCGAGCACUGCACUCCCCUCGCCGGUGGUGCUGAGGGGGGGCCGCUCUCUGGUCGCGUCACGGGUGUUUCCCGAAGUUUCUACGGAGCCCGGAGCUGCCGGGUCCGCGCUGUGGCCGCGGCUCCCUGGAGGUGUUUUAGGGGCGCCUGUGCCGAGGCGACGCAGCCCGCUCGGUUCCGCCUGCGUGCGCGUGUGCGAGCGGCGGCAGCCGGACACCGGGUACCGAUACCCCGCCCCGCGGGUCGCCGCGGCCUCCACGGCCGGGCCGGGCCCCUGGCGGCGGCGAGGCCGCCGAGGAGGUGCUCGCUGAUGGCAGCGGCUCGGUGCUCAGCGCCCCGGGAGCGGCUGGGGGCCUCCCUCCCUCCUUCCUUCCCUCCCUCCGCGCCUGCCCGCCCCGGGGGCUUGAGCUGGGCCCGGGGGCGCGCACGGCUUUUGCCCCCGCGCGGCUCCCUGAUCUGUAAUGUAGACACUUGCUCGCUUGCUGUAAUAGCUCUUGUAUUUUUAAUGGGAACUGAUGGACCUGUGAAGGUAUUAGAAAUGUUUCUUUUCCCGGUUUUCGUUUUCUUUGGUAAUAAUAACGUGGGCUGAGAAGCUCGCGGUACGUUUCGGAGCCGAAGUGCUGGGUAGUCGCAGGAGUUUCCGCAAGAACUUGCUGCUUCGUACGCCAUGUCCGCGUCGGGCGGGCGGAGUGGCGCGGACAGGCGUUGGACCCCGGCGGCGCGUGGUCCCCUGGCAGGGAAGGGGCUCCAGAGCACCGCUGCGAGGAGAGAGCCCGCAGGGGAGAGCGACGGGCCGAGCGACGCUCCUCGGCCUGUUUCUGAAGCCGUAGCGUGUUUUCUUGUUUCUCUCGUCGUCCGUGGGGAAGAUGCUGGGGACGAGCGCAGGGAAGGCCGGAUGCAGGGACGUGGCGUUUGGAGGAGGAGAAGGCGCCUGCCUUUGCGGCCUGCUCUUGCAGCCGGCAGCCGCUUUGUGCCGAGCCUAGGUACAAACCGUCUCCGCUGCCUCGGGGGCACAGCGCCCAGUCUGGGAAGACCUGCCAGAUAGUAAAACUGAAACUCGGAGAGUUAGAUAUGGUCAUAUGCAGCUCGAUCAUUGAAGUGGGAAUAGCGGAUGAUUUGCCAUCAUGUUCAGCAGCAGACCAGCUCUGUCUCAGAGUGAAUCACUGGGAGGCUGAGAAGAGCCCCAGGAGCUCCUGACUCAUGGCCCCGUGUUCCUCACCACACGGUCGUAUCCCAGCUCAGAAAUCUCAUUGAUCAUUGAAAUUACAAAAGCUGUCGUAUGCGAGGAGCACAAAAACACUCACACUUGCAGAUUCUGAAGUUGGAAGUUUGCGUCAUGAGAGCCUUGGUGUUUGCUGUGCGUUGUCCCUCCCUGCUCAGACCUUCAGCACUGUUUUGCCUGGUUAUGUAUACUCAGUGCUUAGCACAGUGGAGCCUGGACUGUGCGUGGCCUUCAGAUAGAGCUGCGACUGAAGUGCUGAACAACCAGUAAUGACCCCAAAGCCUUGGUGGACAUGAGCAUAUGCCUGUGACUGACAUGCUGCAGAGACUGUGGAGUAAUUGCAUUAGAGCUGCUGAUGUUGACACAGCUGUGGAAGCAACACUCCCGUAAAGAAGCCACCAUCAUGAAAAUGGCUCUGUCAGCAGCACAUAUGCUCCCUGAACUUCGUGUUCGUUUUCUGAGUGGAUCCAUCAAGUGGGUCAGUCACCUAGAGUCGGGCCAUCUCCAGGUUUCACGUGAGAGCUGCCCGGUGUGGGGAUGCACAAGGAGGAAAGCUCAGGAGUUUGCUCUGUUCUGAGGAGCAGGAUGGGUGGUCCCUAUGGAAGCCGAUAUAAAGCUGUAUUUGGCCGCAUGUCUGCCGUGGCCUUUUGAGUACUAUCUACUGGGAUCAUUCGCCAGGGUAGCUACUGUCCUCAGACCUCCAGUGCCACAGACUGCUCAGGAGAGCAGACAGCAAGCUCCUAAAUACAAGUUUUAGUUCAGAUUUUGAUAGCUGUCCAGUGUGUGUUAAGAACUGCUACUACUUGCUUGGGUUUGAGCUUCCACAAUUCUGAAGGCAAAGUGAUUCAGUGUUCUUUAUCCCUCUGCAUGCUGAAAGACUGCCAGAAGGCCAAAUCAACAAAUCCAAAAUAGGAUUAAUGCACUGAACCACAUGGCUGUGUCCACAGAAGGAGCUCUGCUCCUGGCUGUGGGUGAAGCAGGACUCCUCCAUCACCUCCCUCCUGUCUUGCCGAGCUUCUCCUCGACAUGGUGGUCCGAGCGCUCUCCAGUCUUGCCCCCACAGCCAGCAGUGUCACCCGGUCGUGCACCCAGCUCCAGUGAGAAGGGCUGAACUGAGCGCUGGCACUGUGACCUGUCAGGCACUUGUCCCACGGCAGUUCCUGUGCAGCCCCUUCCAGCCCCAACCUGCUCGGGCGGCUUUAGCAGAGCGAUGGAGGAGUGCGGCAGAGGGAGCGAGCUGGCUCACCACUCCGGGAUGCUGCGGGAGACUCAGGGGUGCGUACCGCCUCCCUCCUGCCCCCAUCAGUGACCAGCCCAUGGGCUGGCUAUAGGGUGGCGUACUGCUGCCAUCACGCAAGGAGUACGCCUCCAUUUUUUUUUGUCACAGGUCCUAGUACUAACCGUUAUCAUAUAUAUGAUUUCUUUCAGCACCAUUUACCUGUGGAGUAAUUGUAACUGCUCCUAUGUGAACCAAAGGCAAAGGUGUCUGGUCCAUGCCGCUCACAGGGCAGCCUCCUGCAUUGGUGUUCAGAGGGCUGCAGUACUAUGAGACUGCCACGGGACAAAAACACCACCAAAGCCCCAAAACAAUGAAAAAAUUCCCUUGUCUUUUCUCUGCUCUAAGUGAAUGUUUGAACAUCUAAACACUCCCUUUAUUGAUCAGAAAUAAUUUGCAUGCAUUGGUAUUUCAGCACUCUCCCACGGCCACGUAACACGUUUUUCCUUACCCGGCAGCAGACAUCCACAGGGUCCCACGGCGGUGGCGUCCCUGAGGGCCAGCAGGUUGGCCGGGCUGGAGAGGGCUCGCAGCGCACACCUCAGGCCAAGCUCCCUUGGCAGGCCUGGCCUAGCUCCCGGGAAGGAACCGGCUAUUCAAAACAAGCAAUUUACUUGCUUGCUACAAAUUAAUAUUCUCACAACAACUCCCUCCAUUCAGUCUUAAUUAAUGCUUUUAGCAAAGACUUUAAUAUUUUUGAUCCUAUCAAUUUUCUGUUCUUUUCUUAUUAAAUAGAUGUACUAGGGAAGUUUGAAUAAUAACUGCCCAAAGUUUAAGGAUAAUGAAUAAAUGAACUUUGCCAGCCUCUGGCUAACAUGAAAUUUACUGUGUAGUAACAAAUACAAGAGAGGCAGCACGUAUAUUGACCAACCUAGUUUUGACACACAAGUUUGGGAGCACUCUAUUUAUUUACUUACUAAUUCUAAAUGAAAAGAAGCUCUAAAAUCUUUUAUGCAGGAAAUGAGAAACGAGUUCUGACAGACUUUUGCAUUCUCCAUCACAGAGUUAACGAACACACUCUCUUGCCCUUCUUCCCUUUGGUGGGCUUCUGGCCCUCUUGCCAGUCAGCAAUAUUUUCAGGAAUGCAUGCUUUAUUUUCCUUGGGAGUUAUGCCAGAAAAGGAGCAUAAGCAGGAAAUAGGUAAUUUUGCUUUUUCACUGGGUCUUGCCAUUUUGAAGGUCAUUUGCGUGCUGUAAGAACUAUUUUUGUUUGAUGUAUUUUUACAUGUGCAUGGAUCUAGCAUCAGCUGUGUUACACCGUUGUAAAUCCAUUCAUUUUUUAUGAAAUCCAUUAACUUCAGUGAAUUUAUACCAACUUAACUGUUAGCAAACUAUGGCUGAUAGUGCAGAGUGGAAAUAUUACAAGAAAAUGUGCAAAGUC